GGCGCUGCAACUGUUCCUGCAUUGACUCGGCGUGAGCCACCUGCGCCGCUAAUCGCAGCUGCAACUCCUCGACAGUAGAUUCUGCUUUUUCGGCUCUGAUGCGACGAUCCGUUGCCAAUGCCUCGCUGGCUGAUACCUAAAUUCCGGAUUUUUUGCAAAAUUGCUGGACCUGCGACCGCAUAAUCAUUCAUUCACGUAUAUGUAGGAUUCAUCAAUAUAACAUACAAAUAUACGAGUCACACAUGAUGCGUCUAAUUCCGGGUACAUAUUGGUAUUGCAACUUUUCGCGAUAUUCCACAAUGAAUAAAAGUUAAUAGGGCAAGUAGUAUUGAUCCUUCUUCCUGGUACGGAAGGAGUAUUACAUGAUAUUGAGUCACCGACGAAACGCGAAAGGUGUGAUUCACCCGUAAGCUAUAUUUCUCUUGUCGUGCGUUGACCUGACGCUGUCUCGCAGAUGAAUUCUACGAUCUUUAAAAAAUGAUGGAUGUCACUAAGGUUGCACAUAAUGACAAGUGCCGUAGGUUGAACUCAAUAACGGCAUGAUAUUAUAUCGAUCUUGCACAGAGCACGUGCUUGACAAAUAACAACUUUACAUUCGUUACAAUAAAGAUAAUUUGGAAAAAGCUUAAAUACUCGCAAAAAUGCUCCGUUAUAUACGACUUUUAAUCACAAACAAUAUAUUACACAAUAUUUUUG